GUGGGGAAUCUUCCGCAAUGGACGAAAGUCUGACGGAGCAACGCCGCGUGAGUGAUGAAGGUCUUCGGAUUGUAAAGCUCUGUUAAUCGGGACGAAAGAGCCUAGUGUGAAUAAUGCUAGGAAGUGACGGUACCGGAAUAGAAAGCCACGGCUAAAUACGUGCCAGCAGCCGCGGUAAUACGUAGGUGGCAAGCGUUGUCCGGAAUUAUUGGGCGUAAAGCGCGCGCAGGCGGAUCUGCCAGUCUGUCUUAAAAGUUCGGGGCUUAACCCCGUGAUGGGAUGGAAACUACAGAUCUAGAGUAUCGGAGAGGAAAGUGGAAUUCCUAGUGUAGCGGUGAAAUACGUAGAGAUUAGGAAGAACACCAGUGGCGAAGGCGACUUUCUGGACGAAAACUGACGCUGAGGCGCGAAAGCCAGGGGAGCGAACGGGAUUAGAAACCCCAGUAGUCC
rnacentral:rRNA from 1 species